CAGAAGGCUUCGUAUUUGCUGUUUUAAUGCUCAGUCAACAAAUCCAACGCUGUUUGUUUUGCUGUUACCUAUUCCGGGAGCUAUCCGAGCAAUCCUAAAUGGACUUUCCAACUGCGAUAAAUGACAAUAUAAAAUCAAGAAAAAGAGUACGCGCUAAAUAACAAUAAGGUUGCAACCUUUAAAGGGGAUCCCUCAAAAAACCCUCAAAUACAAUAAGGAUAAAAAACAAACAAAGAUAAAGGUUGCGCCAAAAUAGACAAAUAAAAAUAUAAAUAUGUAUAUAAAAGUCUUAGCUGAAAGGAUUUUCUUUAGAUCAAAUAGUCUAUAAAGUGCUUGUUCAGGAACAAUGUCCUCGCUGUUCUUCCCCAGGGGGAUCCAAU